UACGGAGGGUGCGAGCGUUGUCCGGAAUCAUUGGGCGUAAAGGGCUCGUAGGCGGCCAACUAAGUCGGAUGUGAAAUCCCCAGGCUCAACCUGGGAACUGCAUCCGAUACUGGAUGGCUUGAAUCCGGGAGAGGGAUGCAGAAUUCCAGGUGUAGCGGUGAAAUGCGUAGAUAUCUGGAGGAACACGGUGGCGAAGGCGGCAUCCUGGACCGAUGUGACGCUGAGGAGCGAAAGCAGGAGGGAGCAAAGCGGGAUUAGAACCGGAUCCAG
rnacentral:rRNA from 1 species